UACCAGCACCCCGAGUGGGCGGGACGUUUAUUGGGCCUAAAGCAUCCGUAGCCGGUUCUACAAGUCUUCCGUUAAAUCCAGCUGCUUAACAGAUGGGCUGCGGAAGAUACUAUGGAGCUAGGAGGCGGGAGAGGCAAGCGGUACUCGAUGGGUAGGGGUAAAAUCCGUUGAUCCAUUGAAGACCACCAGUGGCGAAGGCGGCUUGCCAGAACGCGCUCGACGGUGAGGGAUGAAAGCUGGGGGAGCAAACCGG
rnacentral:rRNA from 1 species